rnacentral:rRNA from 1 species
AAUGAACGUUGGCGGCAUGGAUUAGGCAUGCGAGUCGCGCGACAAGUUUCUCUUAGCUUGCUAAGAGAAGCGGAGGAGCGGCGUAAGGGAGAGUAAUGGGUGGAUUAUCUGCCCUCAGGUUCGGGAUAGCUGCGGGAAACUGCAAGUAAUACCGGAUAAUAUCUGCGGAUCAAAGGUGUGAUUCCGCCUGGGGAUGAGUCCGCCUCCUAUUAGCUAGUUGGCAGGGUAAUGGCCUACCAAGGCUACGAUGGGUACCGGGUGUGAGAGCACGACCCGGCUCACUGGGACUGAGACACUGCCCAGACACCUACGGGUGGCAG